rnacentral:lncRNA from 1 species
UGAAUUUGGUGGUGGAGGUGAUGAGUAUAUGUAUACAGGUGGUGGAGGUGGUGAAUUUGGUGGUGGAGGAGGCGGAGGUGGUGGUGAAUUGUAGUAGUAAGGUGAAGGGGGUGGAGGUGAGUGAGCAAGCGGUGGUGGCGGAGGAGGUGGUGAAUUUGGUGGUGGAGGUGGUGGUGAGCGUACACAAUAAGGUAAUGGUGAUGGAGGAGGAGGUGAUGGUGGUGGUGGUGGUGGUGGUGGCGAGUAAACAGGUGGUGGAGGAGGUGGUGGUGAUGGUGGAGUAGGAGAGGGUGGUGGUGGCGAAUAAACAGGUGGGGGGGGUGGAGGAGGUGGAGGUGGCGGAGAGGGAGGUGGCGGAGAGGGAGGUGAAUAAACGGGAGGUGGAGGUGACGGAGGAGGCGGAGGAGGUGAAUAAACGGGAGGUGGAGGCGGAGGAGGCGAUGGAGGAGGUGGUGGUGGUGGUGAAGGUGAAGGAGGAUUAUAAACUGGUGGUGGCGGAGGCGAAUAGACGGGCGAUGGAGGGGGAGAAAUGGGCACGACGACAACAGGAGGCGGAGGCGGAGGCGGAGGCGGAGGCGGAGGCGGAGGCGGAGGUGCAGGCAAAACAGGAACAAACUUACGACACUUAAAAGCACUACAAUGUAUCCUUUUAGACAAAAAGGCCUUGCAUUGAGCAGCACUCCUUUGUGAAGGCCUAUUCACCAAACAAUUCUUUUCAUCAUGAAACUCCGAUAAUCCCAAA